ACGAGUAAUAAAAUACAGUUAUGUUUUUCAGAUAUAUAUAUACAACAACAUAGUACAUUUCCACACAUAGUAUAACUAAGUCCCAACUAUUAUCAUUAGGAUCACUUUAAUACAUAGGAUCUACCUUUGUUUAGUACUAAGUUAUCGUAUUUUAUUUUAUAGAGGGGGUGGGAGAUGAACAGAUAGAAGAGGGGUGGGUGAUAGAGGGACAAGAGAGAGAGGGGGGAAGCAGAUUAAAUCUUCUUUUCUUUUAUUUCCAGCAAGAUUGUUCCAGUUCGAGACUACUCGAUACGUAAGAGUAAAGCUUAAAAGAUCCUUCUCGUUUCCAAGUCCAGAUUCUCUGGAGCGCACAAGGCUAUGAGAUUCCCUCUAGUUACUACUUUUAUGGUUUCCCACAAGAUUGAGGGGUCCGUCUCCGGCAAUGGCGGAUUUCCCGGAUGAACAGUCUAUUAGAGGAUUGAGAGCUACAUUGAGGUCCCCUCCAAGUAUGAUGAUCCCUUCAGCGAAUUCCUGAAGUUGGGAUAUUACUUCUUUUGCAUAUUUGGCCUGAUUGACAUUUGGUAAAUAUACUGAACAUAAAGUCAUGCAUGUGUUAUAGAUUUGUGCU